rnacentral:sRNA from 1 species
UUUUUAUUAUUAAUGGAUCGAAAAUUACGUUUCCGGUGGUCGAUUUUAUUACGGAAUAAAACCGGAUUUACGGUUUUAAUAAUUAUUAAAGGUUUUUUACAAAUUUUACAAAUUACGUACGGCCGUUAUCCCAUUAAUUUUUAUUUUAAUAGGGGGUACGAAAUGAAUACAAAAUUUUAAAAUUGGUUUGCAAAUAAAAAUAUUAUUUUUAGCAUUUUACACUUUUAUAACCACAGCCAAAACGGGUUAACGGAACGGUCCGUUAGGGUUAUUUUCAAUAUAUUCAAAAUUACUAUUAUAACGGUAAAAUUAUUAUUAUUUUUAUAUUAUUAUUUAUUACCCGCCGUAAUUAAUUUAAUUAACCGUAUAACGGUAAUUAAUAGGAAAAUAAUAUUUUACAAAAAUUUUAUUCCGAAUUUCAAUUUAAAUUAUUAUACAGGUUUAAUUUAGGCCAUUUUCGGAUUAUAAAUAUUAUAUACCAGGUUAUUAUACCGUGGGAAAAACGCCAAAAAUCCAGCAAAUUGGUUUUUCGUAUAAAAAUAAUAAAACUUUUAAUCCAUUAAUCCAAUUUUACAACGUUGGUUUACGCCCCCGCUAAACGGGCCGUAUGUAAAACCUUUACCGUAAAAACUUUAAAAAGUAUACCCGUUAAAAAUUUAAAUAUUCCAGGGGAAACGUUACAAAUUUCAAAAAAAGGAAAUUUAAAUUUAAAGGGGGAUUUUAAUUUUAAACUUAAAAAUAAAAUUUAUAGGGCCAAAUAUUUGGAUUUAAUGGAUAAUUAUCCCCUACUACCCAGUAUAAAAUAUUUAAAUCUAAUAAAUAUAAUAUUUUCCCGGUUUGUAUAAUUUAUUAUUCGCCCCCCAAAAUUUAUAACAGUAACGGUAUUUAAUUUAAUAUCUAAAAUAACGGAAAUUUCGGUGUUUUUUAUAUUUAAAAUAUAAAAUAUUUGGAUUAGAAUAUGGAAUUCGAAGGCCCAAAUCCAAUAAAUAUCGAUUAUAUACAUUAUUUUUAUCAUUAAACUAAAAAAAAUAAAUAAUAGCCCAUUAAAAACGACGAACCAAAUAAUUAUUAACAGGUUUUAAAAAACCUUAAAAACGCUAAAUAAUUAGCAAUUUUAACGUUUGAAUUCGACCAAAUUAUUAUCGCAAAGGUUUUCCGUUUUAUCCGUAAAAUUAAAGUAACUAUAGGCCGUAAAGUAAUCUUUACCCGGCCGGUAUUUGAAUUAAAAAAAAUAAAAAUAAUAGGCCUAUAAAAUAUAAAACCAAAUUUAUUAUUAAAGGGUUUUUACAGGUCGAAAACCUAGAUUAUAUCGAAAUUAUUGCUAAUAUUUAAUAUACCGCCUAUUUGGCGUAUAUUAUUAGUUAUAAUUAGUAUAUAAAAUUGGAAAACAAAAUAAAUUGAUUUUAUCGGUGCGUUUUUAAAUAAUAAUUUUACCCACGUAAAUAUUAAUUUGCAAAUUCUAAAAAGUUUUAACGAUUGUGUUAAAUCUCGCAAUUUUACCACCGUUAAACUUUUAAUACAAAUGGGUUCUAAUUUAAGACAAAUGCAAAUUAUAUAAUUGUAAAAGGCGUUAUACGGUUUAAAAUAGGGUUUGAAAAAUAGUAAACAAAAUUGAAAAACCUAUUUUUUACAAAAGAAAUUAAACCGCUAAUUUUUAAUCGAGUUGUUUUUUAUAAUACUAAAUCCAAAUAUUUUAUUAUUAUUUUUGUUAGCGAUUGCCUGCUAAUAGGUCCUAAAUUGCAAUAUAUUUAAAAUUCAAAAACCUGUUUUAACAAAAUAUACGCGUUAAAAAACAGGGGCCCUGCAAUUUAUUUUUUAAACGUUUAAAUUAUAAAAAAAGUUUGAUCGCCUGUUUUAACUCCAUUAAGAUUAAUAUAUAAAAAAAUAUUAAUAACGUUUGGAUUAAUUAAUUGGAAACUUAUUUUUGUUUUUUUACAACCGGGUAUAUUAAGAUAUUACGGGGGUAAAUUUGUAAAUAUGUUCGAAAUUAAAUUAUCAUAAUAUAUUAUCGGUACCCUAAUAUAUUUAAUAUUAUUAACGCGCCCGAAUAUUAGUUUUACUGUUUAAUAAUUAUUUUGGUUUUUAAUAGAAACUAUCACAAUUUAUUUUACGGCAGUUAAAAACCUAUUUCGUUAUCUAAAAAAUAUUUAAUUUUGAAUAAUUUAUUACGGAAAUAAAACAAUUAAAGCCAAUUUACCACCUAACUUUUUAAUUGGGGUUUUAAAAAUUUAAAAUUAUUUGGUUUUAAUAAUAGCAAUUUUGCCGGGGUUAGAGAAAGUUUGAAAUCCCAUUUACGGAUAUUUAUAUACCCUAUUUGAGGGUUUUAUAACGUAAAAAUGCAAUAAAGUUAAUAUUAUAAUUUUAAAUACCCCAAAAACCGAAACCGAUAUUUUAAUAGAAACCGUGCGUAAAAUAUAAUAUUUAAAAACCUAUUUACAAAAAUUGGAUUAUUUGUAAAAACCCCUAUUGCAAUAUUUGGAAAUAAUACAAAUUUUAUAAUUAAUAUAUAUAAUUUUACGCACCACCAAUAUAUUAAAUAUACGUUAUUAAAAUUUUAUUACGUACGGGAAUUAAUUAUAGAAAAAUUAAUAAUUUUAAAAUAUUUAAAAUCCGAACAAAUAUCCGCUUAUAAUCUUACAGAACCCCUAACGUUUCCAAUUUACAAACUUUUUUUAAAUUUAUAAGGUUAAAACCCCUGUAAAUUUAACUUUUACCGAUUAAAUUUUAAAAUAUUUGAUUAAUUCGUUAAUUAAUUACCAUUAUUUUCCUUUAUUUGCAAUUAUUAGAUUUUUAUUAGCCCAAUACUGACCCUUUUACCCAAAUUUAUUUUGCACAGGUUAAUUAAUAAAUAAUUUAUACCGAUUUGAUAUUUAAAAUUAAAUCCGAAUGAAAUUACCGCGCGUUUUGGGCAAUUUAACGAUUCGAUUUACCUACCCUAUAUAUUAGAUUUCUUUGGAAUUUAUAAUAACAAAUAACCAAUUUAAUUAUUUGGUUUAAUAGUAUAUUCCGUAAAUUAUAAUUUAUAAAUCGUGGGUUCGAAUUUGGGGGUUGUUACAAUUUUGGGGGUUUUUUCAAUUCGGGGGUUUGUCCAAUUUGGGGUUUAAUUAAUUAAGGGGUCCGGUACAGAAAACUUAAUUACCCAGGGGGUUUGUAUCGGGGGUUCGAAUUGGGUUGGAAUAUAAAAAAGAAUUUGGUUUUUUUAUUUUUUUUAUUUUUUUUAUUUUUCUUAUUUUUUUAUAUAUAUUUUUUUUCCGGUCUUAUUUUAAAUUAAAUAGCAAAAAGGGGGUGUUAAUUAUAUAUAUUAUCUUAUAUAUAAU